rnacentral:rRNA from 1 species
ACUCAAAGGAAUUGACGGGGGCCCGCACAAGCGGUGGAGCAUGUGGUUCAAUUCGACGCAACGCGAAGAACCUUACCAGCUCUUGACAUGGCAGGACGGUUUCCAGAGAUGGAUUCCUCCCCGCAAGGGGCCUGCACACAGGUGCUGCAUGGCUGUCGUCAGCUCGUGUCGUGAGAUGUUGGGUUAAGUCCCGCAACGAGCGCAACCCUCGCUCUUAGUUGCCAUCAUUUAGUUGGGCACUCUAGGAGGACUGCCGGUGAUAAGCCGGAGGAAGGUGGGGAUGACGUCAAGUCCUCAUGGCCCUUACGGGCUGGGCUACACACGUGCUACAAUGGCGGUGACAGAGGGACGCAAAGGGGCAACCCUGUGCAAAUCUCAAAAAGCCGUCUCAGUUCGGAUUGGGCUCUGCAACUCGAGCCCAUGAAGUUGGAAUCGCUAGUAAUCGCAGAUCAGCACGCUGCGGUGAAUACGUUCCCGGGCCUUGUACACACCGCCCGU